CCCCCAAGUGGUUGCCACAAAUAUCCUUGUGCACCUUCCGAAGAGCUUAGUCAGCUUUGGAGGGUCGAAGGUACUUGAGCAGGGGCAAAGAUGCUGACCUAUGGUAGAGUUGGUCGUUGAUGAUCAUGUACCAAGCUGUCGAUCUCCUCAUUCGAUGUGCCUCGAUAGGAUCAGCCAACAAAGUUUCAUUGAUUAGAAACUCAAUGAAUGAAUCGAUCCAGCUCGGCUCAUGAUCGACCAAAAUCUAGUGAACUUCCUCCUCGGAGUCGAUACUUUGAUUUUCGAGAUGCUUGAUGAAGAUCCUCUCUAACUCACCAC
rnacentral:lncRNA from 1 species